GGGGAAUUUUCCGCAAUGGGCGAAAGCCUGACGGAGCAAUACCGCGUGAGGGAGGAAGGCUCUUGGGUUGUAAACCUCUUUUCUCAGGGAAUAAGAANCUGAAGGUACCUGAGGAAUCAGCAUCGGCUAACUCCGUGCCAGCAGCCGCGGUAAUAACGGAGGAUGCAAGCGUUAUCCGGAAUGAUUGGGCGUAAAGCGUCCGCAGGUGGUUUAUCAAGUCUGCUGUCAAAGAGUUUGGCUCAACCAAAUAAAGGCAGUGGAAACUGACAGACUGGAGUGCGGUAAGGGCAGAGGGAAUUCCUGGUGUAGCGGUGAAAUGCGUAGAGAUCAGGAAGAACACCGGUGGCGAAAGCGCUCUGCUGGGCCGUAACUGACACUGAGGGACGAAGGCUAGGGGAGCGAAUGGGAUUAGAUACCCCAGUAGUC
rnacentral:rRNA from 1 species